UUCAGUAACACUUUUGGUCAAAUGUACUGGUUCAUUUGCAGAAACAGAUUUUGGAUCUGCACUUUCUAUGGUAAGAGUAUACAGGUCUGAAAAUCUAGGCAGUUUUGACGAAACCACUAAACCGGUAGUGGUGAAGGAUCCCUGAGGAUAAGUAAUCAGAAUAGCAUUUUUCUCCUUAGUGUGUAUGAUCAGCUGCAACAGCACAUUGAAGAUAACAUACGAUAUAAGAUGAUGCAGACAAUGAGAAAAUCCCUGUUCUCAGGAAACUUCUUCUUAUAAAACUGAGAAAACAGAGCAAUGACAAUUAUGAUGGUCCCAAUCAACAUCUUCACAUUGCUCAAUCUAACAUUUUCCACGUACCCACUACUCUUUACUAUCUAAACAGACUCAUCGAUAAUGUGUUUGAUUGAAUUGUGAUCCAAAAGAUUGACUUUCUUUGGAGCUUUAAAAGAAGCCAUUUUUCUUAUUUCUUCUUCACUUUUGAGCUUAGCGUUUUUCAAAUAAAACUCUUACUGCAAAAGUGCAAAUGGCUACUGUAACGUGUUUAAUUAUAAAUACCUUUUACAUUAAAGAAAGGUUUUUU